GACGUAGGGCGCGAGCGUUGUCCGGAUUUAUUGGGCGUAAAGAGCUCGUAGGUGGUUUUGUCGCGUUGUCCGUGAAAACUCACAACUCAAUUGUGGGCGUGCGGGCGAUACGGGCAGACUGGAGUACUGCAGGGGAGACUGGAAUUCCUGGUGUAGCGGUGGAAUGCGCAGAUAUCAGGAGGAAUACCAGCGGCGAAGGCGGCGCUCUGGGCCGGUACUGACGCUGAGGAGCGAAAGCGUGGGGAGCAAACAGG
rnacentral:rRNA from 1 species